AGGAGGCAGCAGUGGGGAAUAUUGCGCAAUGGGGGAAACCCUGACGCAGCAACGCCGCGUGAAGGAUGAAGGUUUUCGGAUUGUAAACUUCUUUGAUGAGGGACGAAAAAAUGACGGUACCUCAAAAACAAGCCACGGCUAACUACGUGCCAGCAGCCGCGGUAAUACGUAGGUGGCGAGCGUUGUCCGGAAUUACUGGGUGUAAAGGGCGUGUAGGCGGGAUUGCAAGUCAGAUGUGAAAUUCCAGGGCUUAACUCUGGAGCUGCAUCUGAAACUGUAAUUCUUGAGUGAUGGAGAGGAAAGUGGUAUUCCUAGUGUAGCGGUGAAAUGCGUAGAUAUUAGGAGGAACACCAGUGGCGAAGGCGACUUUCUGGACAUUAACUGACGCUGAGGCGCGAAAGCGUGGGGAGCAAACAGGAUUAGAAACCCUUGUAGUCCC
rnacentral:rRNA from 1 species